UACGAAGGGGGCUAGCGUUGCUCGGAAUCACUGGGCGUAAAGGGUGCGUAGGCGGGUCUUAAGUCAGGGGUGAAAUCCUGGAGCUCAACUCCAGAACUGCCUUUGAUACUGAAGAUCUUGAGUUCGGGAGAGGUGAGUGGAACUGCGAGUGCAGAGGUGAAAUUCGUAGAUAUUCGCAAGAACACCAGUGGCGAAGGCGGCUCACUGGCCCGAUACUGACGCUGAGGCACGAAAGCGUGGGGAGCAAACAGG
rnacentral:rRNA from 1 species